AUCACUUCUCGACCUUUUGACUAAGAUCAAGUUAGUAUUCUGUU
rnacentral:snRNA from 1 species